GGAUUUGUUUUUAUUGCCAUUUCUCAGUACUGUUCUGUGGCUGAACCUUGCAACAAGGGACAUCUCCACAGAGCACAGGCAAUGGGUGACAUGUGGUCAUAUACAAUCAUGGUCCCGUCAGAGUCGCUGUCAGAUUCCUUUUCAGUGAUGGAAGGAUUUCAUUCAUUUCCUGCUUUGUCUCGGUUCAAAGGUUAAUUACUUUGGAAAGUCAGGAAGAAAAUGACUUGGCACUUGUGAGUUAUCUUAAGCUGCAGACACUGAUUCAGGGAGAUCA